AACGAACGCUGGCGGCGCGCCUAACACAUGCAAGUCGAACGAGAAGCUGUAGCAAUACAGUUGUACAGUGGCGAACGGGUGAGGAAUACAUGGGUGACCUACCCUCGAGUGGGGAAUAACCAGCCGAAGGUUGGCUAAUACCGCGUACGUUUCCCAGUCUGCGGAUUGGGGAAGGAAAGCGAUGCCGUGAGUAUCGCGCUCAAGGUUGGGCUCAUGUCCUAUCAGCNGUUGGUGAGGUAACGGCUCACCAAGGCAACGACGGGUAGCUGGUCUGAGAGGACGAUCAGCCACACUGGCACUGCGACACGGGCCAGACUCCUACGGGAGCAGCAGUGAGGAAUAUUGCGCAAUGGGCGAAAGCCUGACGCAGCGACGCCGC
rnacentral:rRNA from 1 species